GGUGAACGCUGGCGGCGUGCUUAACACAUGCAAGUCGAACGAUGAAGCCCAGCUUGCUGGGUGGAUUAGUGGCGAACGGGUGAGUAACACGUGAGUAACCUGCCCUUAACUCUGGGAUAAGCCUGGGAAACUGGGUCUAAUACCGGAUAGGAGCGUCCACCGCAUGGUGGGUGUUGGAAAGAUUUAUCGGUUUUGGAUGGACUCGCGGCCUAUCAGCUUGUUGGUGAGGUAAUGGCUCACCAAGGCGACGACGGGUAGCCGGCCUGAGAGGGUGACCGGCCACACUGGGACUGAGACACGGCCCAGACUCCUACGGGAGGCAGCGGUGGGGAAUAUUGCACAAUGGGCGCAAGCCUGAUGCAGCGACGCCGCGUGAGGGAUGACGGCCUUCGGGUUGUAAACCUCUUUCAGUAGGGAAGAAGCGAAAGUGACGGUACCUGCAGAAGAAGCACCGGCUAACUACGUG
rnacentral:rRNA from 1 species